CCUUAACAGACUUCCAUGUUUUCUAAAAUAUAUUUGUUCCUUUGUCAGGCUAACCCUAGCAUCAAGUAUGAUGAAGGAAAAACAAAUUGUGUAUGAUGAAGGAGAGAAAUCCUUACAUACGGCAAGUAUAUAUAUAUAUAGGCUAUGAAUGGUAACAUAGACCGCACUCAAAACUGCAUCGUAACAGUGCUGUAACAAUAUCAAAAUCUCUACAUAUACAUAUGUAUUUAUGUAUUUUUGUUACUAUUUAAACCGCACCGAACUUCUUCCGCACCGCAAAACGUAGUCACCAUUCGGACCCAUAACUUUCAAGGGAUAGAUCUCGGGAUUAGCAGUAAUUUUGUGCUAGCUCCUACUAUUAGCAUUAGCAGAUAUAUAUAUAUAUAUAUAUUAAUA
rnacentral:sRNA from 1 species